AGAAACUUAGGAUAACCCCCCAAACCGAGGCCUUCAAAGCCUUAAAUAAGAGUUGAACCCUCUUAGUUUCUG
rnacentral:tRNA from 1 species